GGGUGUAGCUCAGUGGUAGAGCAUUCGCCUGCCAUGUGCAAAGCCCUGGGUUCAUUCCCAGCACCACCA
rnacentral:tRNA from 1 species